UUUUUUCACUUCUACCUUUUUUUCACUUCUACCUUUUUUUCACUCAUCCCUCCUCGUUCGGCGGCUUCGUGUCGCAACGAGAAGAAAAGAGGAAGUUUGGCGAAAGGGAUAAAAGAAAAAAG
rnacentral:ribozyme from 14 species